rnacentral:misc_RNA from 1 species
UACAAAAAUCACAAUAAAAAAAAUCAUAAGUACUAAUAUUUUGCAAUUUUAAAUGCAACCCCCAUUAAUGGAUUUCCUCCAUAGUUGUAGUCACCCAAACUCUUUGCACUCCAGAGUCCAGACUCUGCGCACAAUUCACAGAUUGGCGAGAAAAGGAAUUGCAAAGGAGGGGAGAGAAUGACAGACACUGCAUGGCCACAUCUAAAAUACAAGUUUUAGAAAAUGUCCUUAAACCCAAAACAGAGUCGCUAAUAGGCAUGGCAAUUAGAGAUUCAGACCACCAAAAUGUCAGCCCUUGAAAUAGGCAGCUAUCUCAAACCUUAAAAGGUAAAACAGAGCCAUACUGAUGCAGCCAUGCAGGAGUUGAACCAGCUUUUCACCAUUGGGUUCUCAUUUUCCCAGCCAUCGUCCACGUAGAUUUUAGGAUCAGUGUCAAUUCGACCAGAGCAGGGGAGAGACCAUUACUAGCAGAGGCAUAGUUGAUAGGAGGAGACAAGGGUCUAUAUUCAUAGUUAAAAAUUUUGUGUGUUUUAGAGAUUUUUUAGUUUAAAAUUACUUGAUUUUGCUCAUUGUUGAUUUUGGAUCAUUUGAGAAGGCAAAGAUCAAAGAUGGUGAGAGAGAAAAGAUAAGCUUGUUUGAAGAAAAAGAAUUUUUAUUUGACAACAAUUACCAAAUUUUUUCUGGUAAUAAUAGAUUAAAAGAGUUUUUAUGUUUACUCAAUUAAUGUUGGAGAAAUUUUAUAUAACAAAUUGAAGUUCAAAAACAACACUGACACUUUCAGAUGCAUGGUUGAAAUUUCUCAAAGUUUCAGAGACAAAAGAAAUUUACCUGAGAUCCCUAGCUAAAAGAGAGAAUUUAUUCAAUGCAACAGAUACACUUUGAUAACAGAACCCACCAUGAUUAAUGGUGUCAUAAUAUAAACAUUGUUUGCACAAGUUGCCGAUGAUUAUAACCAGAUUGCCAAAACAGUUGGUUCCUUAUCACUCUGAAUUGGAUAUUCAAUCUAAUGAUAGACUAUCAACUUAACUACAAAUUAUUAUUGGAUUAAUGAUAGAAACAUCAAUUUAACUAAAUAAAUGCUUCCCGAUACAAAAAGAGAGUGUAACCGCACAUCGAUAAUUAUGAAUCACUUAACGUGAAUCAUUGAACCACCAAAAACAUGUUUGUUCGCCUAAAUAAAACAAGCAUGCAGAUACACCUUGGCAAUGCAAAUGAUUUAUGAUCAUCAGUAAUAUCUAUAGAAGAAAGAUUUUGCAUUUGUUUCUUGUCCUCUUAUCAAUACAACGUUUCAUAUUCAUGUGAGAUUUUGAUGGAUACAUUACGUAUCGAGUAUCCGGCCAAUAUAAAAUCAAAAUACUUCCAUUUUCGAAUUACUAACAGCAUCCGUGACAAUAUAAUGCAUACAUGAUAGAGCAACAAGUUUAAACCCGAACAUCCUAUCCAAGACAAAAUUAUGCAGAAUAAAACAAUGAGUUCUUGUCAGCCCAAAAGAAAGUUAAAACAAAACAAUCACAAGCUCAUGUAAUACUAUAGGGGGCUCCAACUCUUGUACUGCUUAUAAAAUCAUUGAAUCAAACCUAAAUUCGAUUUGAGGUCACUCGGACUAAUAUAUACACACACCCACCCUCCGAUCUCUCCCUUGCAUUACCCAUAACCGAAGUAAGAUAAUGAACAUAGGACAAGCAUUAAAUAAUUGGCAAAAGUUUAACCCCAAAUUUGUUAAAUAUUUAGCAAUUCUGACAACAUGCCAAGGACAAAUAGAGAUUAAACAUUGGCUACAAGUAGAAUGAUUCACAAACAAAAGUUUGCUAAAUUUUGAUAACUGCAAUUGCAGCUAACACCCAAGCAUUCAGCUUAUUUUCUAGUAAAACAAGAAAAAUAUUAAGUCUUCCACAUAAAAGUAAACAUUCCUUUGACCACAUUCAUGACCUCAGUACCUGUGCUCCAACUUCUCCUUUUCCUUGUACUGCUGCACAUAACUGCAUGGAUUACAAGACAUGAAAAGAAGAGGAGGGGGGGAGGGAGAAGCAUUAGCUACAAUUAAUAAUAAAAACAAAGACAGACAGCAAAAUGGAACUGUUCAAAUUUAAAGAUUUCAAAGACAGACAAAUCCCCAGAUUAAAAGGUGGUGGCAGUUUUGAUUAUUUAGGCUCUUUUUUUCAGUAACUACCUUCUCUAUGGAAAAAUUUUCUUGAAUUUUCCUGUUUGGUUACAAAGAAGUUCGCAAGAACUUUUGGACAAGUGAGAAGAGCUAUUUUCCCCGUUGUGAUUGAACAGGAGACAAAACAAAUAGAAAAAAAGAAAGAAAAUUAAUAUGAUGCAUCUGAAAUUGGAAAAAUAGCACCUGGAUUAUACUUCCCGUAUCUUUCUUGGGGAAAAAGAUUUGCAAAAUAAUUAUGAAAUAAUUAAUGGAAAAGUCAUCUAAAGCAAGAUAAUAGAGUUAGAACAAUGCAACUCUCAAUCAAUAGACAAGUACUACAAAAAUUCUGCAUGCAACUACUCCAAACUCCAAAGUUCUCAUGAUUUUAGCAUAAACCACGAGAUAAUCCUGAUGCUCAAAUAUUGCAAGUUCCUCAUACAUAAGAUGACAAUUAGCGUUUCAAGAGUGGCAAAAAAUAAGAGAGUACAGAUAAAACUUGGGUAGAAAAGCAUUGCCAACGAUUCCAGCAAAAUACAAUCACAAAUAAUAUGGAUAGCUUUUGAGUUUGGCAAAUUGUGGAGACGCAAUAUUGGUUAAAUUAUACACCAGAAAAAACUGACUAAAGGUAUAGCGACAAACACUAGUUCAAGCAAUCGAAAACCCAUUGUCGGAUUAGUUUGAUCAUUAUAACCAAUCAACCCAUUACUUAUAAAUCAUUAACAUCAAUGAAGAAACAAAGCAUGAGUUUGAUACGUCAAUUUUAUUGGGUUCAUCUUCCAUAUUUAAUAAAACCCCAAAAGUAUCGUAUUCUUAUGUGCAAAAAGCUGAUCUGGGAUUAGGGUUUUCACAUCAGAACAAUGAAAAUUAAUUAGGAAAAAAAAUGUAAGAAAGAGGGGAAAUGAAGUACGUGUAAGUGCCGACGAGAGGGGAGAGAAGAAGGGUGGCGCUGAUCCAGUUCUCGGAGACCUUGUGGUGGAUCUUGGUGGGCAGAUCCUUCCAGAGACCACUCAUUGUCUUCUGCUGGAAUGGUGAAAGAGCAUACACCACCGCCUUCAUUCUCACUGGCUGCUUCCCCAUGUCUCUCCUUCUUCCGAAGGUUUUUUAUUUCCUCCUGAUUGUCUAUAGAAGAUUAAGCCAGAACACACUUUCUCUUGCUUCCCCAAUUCCAC